GGAAGGAUCAUUAUCGUACAAUAGAGGUGCCGGGGUUGUCGCUGACUCUUGAAAGGGUCGUGCACACCUCGGUGCUCUCACACAUAAUCCAUCUCACCUCCUUUGUGCAUCACCGCGUGGGGACCCCUUUUGGCUAGUUCUGAGGGGUGUUUUCACGUUUUUAUACAAACAUGCAAUGUGUAGAAUGUCUUACUUUUUGCGAUCACACGCAAUCAAUACAACUUUCAACAACGGAUCUCUUGGCUCUCGCAUCGAUGAAGAACGCAGCGAAAUGCGAUACGUAAUGUGAAUUGCAGAAUUCAGUGAAUCAUCGAAUCUUUGAACGCACCUUGCGCCCUUUGGCAUUCCGAAGGGCACACCCGUUUGAGUGUCGUGACAUCCUCAAACCUUCUUGGUUUCUCGACCAGGAAGGCUUUGGACUUUGGAGGUUUUUGCUGGCCUCCCUUUGUUGGAGCCAGCUCCUCUGAAAUAAAUUAGUGGGGUCUACUUUGCCGAUCCUUGACGUGAUAAGAUGUUUUCUACGUCUUUUGGGUUUCGCACUGUUCCUGCUUCUAACUGUCUCACAGAAGACAAUGGUCAAGUGAUUGCCACUUGACCCAUAAACCUUGACCUCAAAUCGGGUGAGACUACCCGCUGAACUUAAGCAUAUCAAUAAGCGGAGGAAAAGAAACUAACAAGGAUUCCCCUAGUAACUGCGAGUGAAGCGGGAAAAGCUCAAAUUUAAAAUCUGGUGGUCUUUGGCCAUCCGAGUUGUAAUUUAGAGAAGCGUCUUCCGCGCUGGACCAUGUAUAAGUCUCCUGGAAUGGAGCGUCAUAGAGGGUGAGAAUCCCGUCUUUGGCAUGGACCCCCAGGGCUUCUGUGAUGCGCUCUCAAAGAGUCGAGUUGUUUGGGAAUGCAGCUCAAAAUGGGUGGUGAACUCCAUCUAAAG
rnacentral:rRNA from 1 species